CACGUAGGGGGCAAGCGUUGUCCGGAAUUAUUGGGCGUAAAGAGCUUGUAGGCGGUCUGUCGCGUCUGCUGUGAAAAUCCGGGGCUCAACCCCGGACUUGCAGUGGGUACGGGCAGACUAGAGUGUGGUAGGGGAGACUGGAAUUCCUGGUGUAGCGGUGAAAUGCGCAGAUAUCAGGAGGAACACCAAUGGCGAAGGCAGCUCGCUGGAACGGUACUGACGCUGAGACGCGAAAGCGUGGGGAGCGAACAGG
rnacentral:rRNA from 1 species